rnacentral:rRNA from 1 species
UACGUAGGGUGCAAGCGUUAAUCGGAAUUACUGGGCGUAAAGCGUGCGCAGGCGGUUUUGUAAGUCUGACGUGAAAGCCCCGGGCUCAACCUGGGAAUUGCGUUGGAGACUGCAAGGCUUGAAUCUGGCAGAGGGGGGUAGAAUUCCACGUGUAGCAGUGAAAUGCGUAGAGAUGUGGAGGAACACCGAUGGCGAAGGCAGCCCCCUGGGUCAAGAUUGACGCUCAUACACGAAAGCGUGGGGAGCAAACAGG